AUGUCUUGUAAUUGGAAUGAUGGGAAUUUAAACCUCUUCCAGAGUAUCAAUUGGAGGGCAAGUCUGGUGCCAGCAGCCGCGGUAAUUCCAGCUCCAAUAGCGUAUAUUAAAAUUGUUGCAGUUAAAAAGCUCGUAGUUGAAUUUCUGCUGCAUUGCUUUUGCUCCUUUACGAGUCUUUGCAUUGUGGCUUAUUUCGGACUUUGUUUUACAAUGUCCGGAUGUUUACUUUGAGAAAAUUAGAGUGCUCAAAGCAGGCUUUCGCCUUGAAUAGUUUAGCAUGGAAUAAUAAAGUAGGACUUUGGUUCUAUUUUGUUGGUUUUAGGUACCAAAGUAAUGGUUAAUAGGAACAGUUGGGGGCAUUCGUAUUUAACUGUCAGAGGUGAAAUUCUUAGAUUUGUUAAAGACGAACUACUGCGAAAGCAUUUGCCAAGGAUGUUUUCAUUAAUCAAGAACGAAAAGUUAGGGGAUCGAAGACGAUCA
rnacentral:rRNA from 1 species